CAGCCCUAAACGAUGCGCGUUAGGUGUAUCGGUGACCACGAGUCACCGAGGUGCCGAAGGGAAAUCGUGAAACGCACCACCUGGGAAGUACGGUCGCAAGGCUGAAACUUAAAGGAAUUGGCGGGGGAGCACCACAACAGGUGGAGCCUGCGGUUUAAUUGGAUUCAACGCCGGACAUCUCACCGGAUAAGACAGCUGAAUGAUUGUCAAUCUGAAGGUUUUACAUGACUAGCUGAGAGGAGGUGCAUGGCGUCAGUGACU
rnacentral:rRNA from 1 species